rnacentral:rRNA from 1 species
AUUGAACGCUGGCGGCAUGCCUUACACAUGCAAGUCGAACGGCAGCGGGGGAGAAGCUUGCUUUUCCUGCCGGCGAGUGGCGAACGGGUGAGUAAUACAUCGGAACGUGCCCUGUAGUGGGGGAUAACUAGUCGAAAGAUUAGCUAAUACCGCAUACGACCUGAGGGUGAAAGUGGGGGACCGCAAGGCCUCAUGCUAUAGGAGCGGCCGAUGUCUGAUUAGCUAGUUGGUGGGGUAAAGGCCUACCAAGGCGACGAUCAGUAGCUGGUCUGGGGGGACGAUCAGCCACCAUGGGACUGAGACACGGCCCAGACUCCUACGGGAGGCAGCAGUGGGGAAUUUUGGACAAUGGGCGAAAGCCUGAUCCAGCAAUGCCGCGUGUGUGAAGAAGGCCUUCGGGUUGUAAAGCACUUUUGUCCGGAAAGAAAUGGCUCUGGUUAAUACCUGGGGUCGAUGACGGUACCGGAAGAAUAAGGACCGGCUAACUACGUGCCAGCCGCCGCAGUAA